UACGAAGGGGGCUAGCGUUGCUCGGAAUGACUGGGCGUUAAAGGGCGCGUAGGCGGAUGGCACAGUUAGAUGUGAAAUUCCCGGGCUUAACCUGGGGGCUGCAUUUGAUACGUGUUGUCUUGAGUUCGGAAGAGGGUCGUGGAAUUCCCAGUGUAGAGGUGAAAUUCGUAGAUAUUGGGAAGAACACCGGUGGCGAAGGCGGCGACCUGGUCCGACACUGACGCUGAGGCGCGAAAGCGUGGGGAGCGAACAGG
rnacentral:rRNA from 1 species